UGAACACGAACUGUUGAGACCCUGGGUUCCUCCCGCUGUGGAGGAGCAGCCCGGAGCUGGGGCCGAGGCUCUGGCGGCACCGAGCGCUGCUGCCGGGCCCGUCACGCUCCGGGCCCGGGAGCCAAUUCACCGCGCUGUGCCCGGGGAGCGAGGGGCAGCGGGGCUGCAACAGGCGGGGACCGAGCGGGGACGCAGGCGGAUCGAGGCGGAACGAGGCGGGACCGAGGCGGGACCGAGGCGGCACUGAGGCCCGCCCAGCGCCACCGCCCCGGCCCCAGCGGCCCGGCCCGGCCCGGCCCCGCGCUCGGUGCCGCGGUUGCCGGGUGACCGCAAACGCGGCCACAGAGUCUGUGCCGGCCAUGCGGCCUCAGCGCCCGGAGCUCGGCCCCGGCUGCUCGCUCGCAGCUUCGGCGUCUGUAGGCGGCGGCACUCGGCCACUCGCCACAGGAACUGUUCGCACAGAUUGGUCUCUACGAGUCCUGUGAGUUCGCGGAGAAUUGGUUUCUGCCAGGGAGUGCUGAACUCGCCAAGCACUGGUCUCUGCCAGGGAGUCCUGCAUUUCGUUUGAAGUUUUGUUGAGGCAUUAUCGCUCAUCUGCGACAUCCUCCUUUCAGAAUGGCUUCUGGAUUCCCGAAAAAGACACCAGCACCUCGUCUUUUGCUCAGGGACAGACUGAAGUCUGAUACUGUGCUUCCCUCUAAGUUCCAGAGGGAGAAGUUUCUCAACACAAAGCAGGAGGCCAGCACUGGGAGUUUUCUGCCCAGAAUUGGCCCAUGGAUAGACCUGAGUGAGACUGGUCCAAAGCUGUCACCACCUUCCCCGAAGCAGAGCUUGUUUGAGGUUUCCCCACCAGAGAUGGUAUUUC